rnacentral:tRNA from 7 species
GGUGGGGUUCCCGAGCGGCCAAAGGGAGCAGACUGUAAAUCUGCCGUCAUCAACUUCGAAGGUUCGAAUCCUUCCCCCACCACCA